UACGUAGGGGGCAAGCGUUGUCCGGAAUUAUUGGGCGUAAAGAGCUCGUAGGCGGUCUGUCGCGUCGGACGUGAAAAUCCAGGGCUCAACCCUGGACCUGCAUUCGAUACGGGCAGACUAGAGUUCGGCAGGGGAGACUGGAAUUCCUGGUGUAGCGGUGAAAUGCGCAGAUAUCAGGAGGAACACCGGUGGCGAAGGCGGGUCUCUGGGCCGAUACUGACGCUGAGGAGCGAAAGCGUGGGGAGCAAACAGG
rnacentral:rRNA from 1 species